rnacentral:sRNA from 16 species
GUAUUGGAUAGGGGUUGCGCCACUGUGACCUAUAGUCAAUUGCUGAAGGAGGGCGACGUCAAGCGGUUGGACAAUGC